rnacentral:rRNA from 1 species
UACGUAGGUGACCAGCGUUGUCCGGAUUUACUGGGCGUAAAGAGCGCGCAGGCGGUCGUUCAAGUCGAGUGUGAAAGCCCCCGGCUCAACUGGGGAGGGUCACUCGAUACUGAUCGACUUGAAGGCAGGAGAGGGAAGCGGAAUUCCCGGUGUAGUGGUGAAAUGCGUAGAUAUCGGGAGGAACACCGGUGGCGAAGGCGGCGUUCUGGACUGUAACUGACACUGAUGAACGAAAGCCAGGGGAGCAAACGGGG